rnacentral:rRNA from 1 species
AUUGAACGCUGGCGGCAUGCUUUACACAUGCAAGUCGAGCGGCAGCGCGGGGGCAACCCUGGCGGCGAGCGGCGAACGGGUGAGGAAUACAUCGGAACGUGCCCGAGAGUGGGGGAUAACGCCGCGAAAGCGGCGCCAAUACCGCAUAUUCUCUGAGGAGGAAAGUGGGGGACCGCAAGGCCUCACGCCCACGGAGCGGCCGAUGUCGGAUUAGCUAGUUGGUGGGGUAAAGGCUUACCAAGGCGACGAUCCGUAGCUGGUCUGAGAGGAUGAUCAGCCACACUGGGACUGAGACACGGCCCAGACUCCUACGGGAGGCAGCAGUGGGGAAUUUUGGACAAUGGGGGCAACCCUGAUCCAGCCAUGCCGCGUGCGGGAAGAAGGCCUUCGGUUGUAACCGCUUUAACCGGUAAGAAAGGACGAUACUCUUAAUACGGGUGGUUC